UGCUGAAAAAUUGUGUUCUAUUUUUCUGGUGAAUGCUUAUCUUUCCCUCCGUACUGAAAGCUCUGCAGAAGAUGGGGACUGAGCUUAAGGGUGGUUUUUGAAGCAAGAAGUUUCUUUGGGAGACUUAAAGGCAUGAUACUGGCAGAGAAGCGGGCCGGUCUUGGAAACCAAGAGCAUGCAUAUUCCAGAAGAUUCUGACACUCCAAUCAUCAUUUUCCUCUUGCCGGUUCUCUACGACCUGUGCGUCUGUGCACACAUCCAUGCAGCGAGCUGCAUGUGAACACCUACCUGCUCACCUAACCGAUGUGUGGAUUCUAUUUCUUAAAAUACCCCAUUAAAGAGAGAAAAUACA